UUUAGGGGCACAAACGGUAUUAUAAGUUUGGAAUUUGGAAAAAUACCAAGAAAUAGAAGUUGUAGAUAAUUGAAUUAGCUUUCCAACCAUAGGUCGUGGGUUCCCAGGUGACGUCGGUACAAGGAGAUAUGGACAUUUUAAGGCAGAAAGGUCGAGAUGAACAGUGAAUUCGGCCCAACCCGACUUCAAAUCGGGUCAGGCCCAUUUCUGUUGUCAUUUAAUGAAAAGUUUCGGUUUUCUCUCCACAUUUCAGACCAAAUCACACCCAUAAACAUUUAGAACAUUCUAGAGAGAGAAAGGGAGGAGAAAUUUAGAGAGAAAUCAAUUUUGACCAAAAUCUAAGCCCCGAAUCGCGAAGCUCAUGAAGGGAAAAGUGUUGUACACUGCGCUGUCUUCAAUUUGAGCUAAAAAUCAACCAAGGAGGAGGGUGAUAACGUGGUGGCUGAAUUCUUAAGAUUUUGGCGAAUUUGAAACUUGAUUUUGGAGACGUGUAUGAAGCGGAAAAGGUCAACAGACAGACGGGUUUAAUCCCUAGGAGCUUCACCAGCUGUUCCUUGAGAGUGCUCCAGUUGAUCCGGAGCUUCAGCCUAUUGGUACUACUUUUGUGUAUAUAAUCGGGCACGGCAGAACUCGGCCCUUCCUAUGUAUAUAUGCACUUUGUUUAGAGGCUCGUAGACAGAUAUGGACAGUUAGAUGUUUUGUACUUUGGAUUGUCCUCGUCGCUGUAUAACGUGCUAACAAAGUUUAUUAGCCUAUGUUUAUAAAUAGCUACUAAUGUUAAU